UCUUCCUGGGGGAAUUUGUUCCUCUGGCUCAGGAAUACCUCCCUAAUGUGAAGAAGAUAAUUUCUAUGAAGAGGCUUAUCCUGUGUACAGAGCAAGUCUUGGGUCUAUAGAGUUACCAGGACAUGGAAGCUUCUGGCUCUGAAUUUAAACCUGAAGACAGUCGAGAUGUCAUUGACAGGCAGGUGACUACUAAUUUCCAGCACAGUGGGUCUUGCCCACUAAAUGCUCCACAGCCCCAUGGUGCCUACCCUAUUACGAGGAAGGAGGAUUUUCCUACACGGCUCUGCUGGCUCAGCUCUUCUCUUGGUGAAGUCAAUGACAAACCUCAGCUUGCCUCCAGGGCUCACAAUGAGCUGCUCUUUCGUGCAGCUGAAAAUCCCCCCCCACACACAGUGGUGACACCCGGAUGCUUUGCAGGUGCACCGUGCCUGUUGCCUAAACAAAGCCUGGUCUGAAGUAUGGAUAGGAAAUAAAUAUUUUA